rnacentral:rRNA from 1 species
UAGCCUACGACGGGUACGGGUUGUGAGAGCAAGAGCCCGGAGAUGGAUUCUGAGACACGAAUCCAGCCCCUACGGGGUGCAGCAGGCGCGAAAACUUUACAAUGCUGGCAACAGCGAUAAGGGAACCUCGGGUGCCAGGUUACAAAUCUGGCUGUCGAGAUGCCUAAAAAGCAUUUCAUAGCAAGGGCCGGGCAAGACCGGUGCCAGCCGCCGCGGUAACACCGGCGGCUCGAGUGGUAACCGUUAUUAUUGGGUCUAAAGGGUCUGUAGCCGGCCGGAUAAGUCUCUUGAGAAAUCUGGCAGCUUAACUGUCAGGCUUUCAGGAGAUACUGUCUGGCUCGAGGCCGGGAGAGGUGAGAGGUACUUCAGGGGUAGGGGUGAAAUCUUGUAAUCCUUGAAGGACCACCAGUGGCGAAGGCGUCUCACCAGAACGGACCUGACGGCAAGGGACGAAAGCUAGGGGCACGAACCGGAUUAGAUACCCGGGUAGUCCUAGCCGUAAACGAUACUCGCUAGGUGUCGGCCACGGUGCGACCGUUGUCGGUGCCGUAGGGAAGCCGUGAAGCGAGCCACCUGGGAAGUACGGCCGCAAGGCUGAAACUUAAAGGAAUUGGCGGGGGAGCACCACAACGGGUGGAGCUUGCGGUUUAAUUGGAUUCAACGCCGGAAAUCUUACCGGGACCGACAGCAAUAUGAAGGCCAGGCUGAAGACUUUGCCGGAUUAGCUGAGAGGUGGUGCAUGGCCGUCGUCAGUUCGUACUGUGAAGCAUCCUGUUAAGUCAGGUAACGAGCGAGACCCA